GACGAACGCUGGCGGCGUGCUUAACACAUGCAAGUCGAACGGAAAGGCCCUGCUUUUGUUGGUUGCUCGAGUGGCGAACGGGUGAGUAACACGUGAGUAACCUGCCCUUGUCUUUGUGAUAACUUCAGGAAACUGGGGCUAAUACCGGAUAUGAGCUCCUGCUGCAUGGUGGGGGUUGGAAAGUUUCGGCGGUUGUGGAUGGACUCGCGGCUUAUCAGCUUGUUGGUGGGGUAGUUGCUUACCAAGGCUUUGACGGGUAGGCGGCCUGAGAGGGUUACCGGGGACAUUGGGAAUGAGAGAGGGGACAGAAGGCAACGGGAGGCAGCAGGGGGGAAAAUUGCAGAAUGGGAGGAAGCCUGAGGCAGAAAGGGCGCGAGCGGGAUGAGGGCAGUCGGGGAGGAAACCGAUUUGGACGGUGAGGAAGCGGGAGUGACGGUAAUGGAUAAAGAAGCAACGGCUAAAUACGUG
rnacentral:rRNA from 1 species